GCUUAAUUCGACGCAACGCGAAGAACCUUACCAAGGCUUGACAUAUACAGGAAUACGGCAGAGAUGUCGUAGCGGUUAAACGUCUGUAUACAGGUGGUGCAUGGUUGUCGUCAGCUCGUGUCGUGAGAUGUUGGGUUAAGUCCCGCAACGAGCGCAACCCUCGUUCUGUGUUGCCAGCAUUUAGUUGGGGACUCACAGGAGACUGCCGGGGUUAACUCGGAGGAAGGUGGGGAUGACGUCAAAUCAUCAUGCCCCUUAUGUCUUGGGCUGCACGCAUGCUACAAUGGCUGGUACAAAGGGCUGCAAUACUGUAAAGUGGAGCGAAUCCCAAAAAGCCAGUCUCAGUUCGGAUUGGGGUCUGCAACUCGACCCCAUGAAGUCGGAGUUGCUAGUAAUCGUAGAUCAGCAACGCUACGGUGAAUACGUUCCCGGGGCUUGUACACACCGCCCGUCACAUCACGAAAGUCGGUAAC
rnacentral:rRNA from 1 species